AAGCAAUCAUGAGACUGGGGUUAGAAGCUCCUCUUUACCACAGGAGCUGCUAUUUAAUGCUUUGCAUUAGGUGACAGGUCGAAGAUCACAUUCUUAGAGCCACUCUUGGUAUUAUAGUUGAUUGAGAAGUCAGCAGAGAAGUUGGCCAUUAUACAAGCUGUCCUGUUGCCAACCUUCACUACAAACAACACUGCUGAUGCACCACACAAGGCCUGCGAGUAACAGCAGGAGCAGUGGUUGCCUCCGGGGGCCACCAGGGGCCGCCAU